rnacentral:tRNA from 1 species
GCCAGCAUAGCAUAGUGAUUUAAGUGUUGGGCUACAAUUCUGGAGGCCAGGGUUCAAUUCCCAGUUCAGCCA